rnacentral:rRNA from 1 species
AACCAGCACCUCAAGUGGUCAGGAUGAUUAUUGGGCCUAAAGCAUCCGUAGCCUGCUCUGUUAGUUUUCGGUUAAAUCCAUGUGCUCAACGCAUGGGCUGCCGAAAAUACUGCAKAGCUAGGGAGUGGGAGAGGUAGACGGUACUCAGUAGGAAGGGGUAAAAUCCUUUGAUCUAUUGAUGACCACCUGUGGCGAAGGCGGUCUACCAGAACACGUUCGACGGUGAGGGAUGAAAGCUGGGGGAGCAAACCGGAUUAGAUACCCGGGUAGUCCCAGCUGUAAACGAUGCAGACUCGAUGAUGCAUUGGCUUAUUGCCAAUGCAGUGUCGCAGGGAAGCCGUUAAGUCUGCCGCCUGGGAAGUACGUACGCAAGUAUGAAACUUAA